UUACACCUGGAUUAAUAAAGAUCUUAAAUAUAAAAUGUCCUAAAAGUAUUACUAAUUUCGAUGUUUUUUUGUUUUGUUUUACAGUUUUGUGGAACGUUGUUGAGAGGAGCACGAACUAUGGAUGAUUUUGGUGAUGAAAAUGUUUCUAGCAACUACUAUGAUUAUGAGUUUUCUGGAAUAUUACCCACAAGGAAAGGAACACAAACUAUGGACAAUGUCCCUGAUGAUGAUGUGACUGAUGCCCAUGAUAUUUCAUAUCGAUCAACAAUAUUCCUCAUCACUGGACUGUGUGUGGGUCUGCCUCUUCUGGUCUGGGUUCUCCGUUCUCUCUACCUUCAUGUGAGGCAGGGUGGUCGAGUCUCAGUCUUCAUCAUCUCACUGGUCCUCACCGACCUGCUGGACCUGGUCCUGAGUCCUGUCCUGAUAGCAGCGUUUUGGGCUCCAUUCACGCAUCUCACUGAUGUCGUGUAUUUGCUGUUAGUUUGCUCAAAAGUCUGUGGUCUCCACUUCCAUCUGCUGGUGACUCUGGAGGCGACCAUAUCUGAGGCGCAUCCACUCUGGGUGUCCCAUGUGGCUUUUCUUCUCUGUUCGGUGAUGGCUGCACUUGCAGAGUGGACCUUCUUCAUAUUUUUAGUUGUUUUCUUGUUGAAUAAUUACAUAAAAACCUGGGUGCUGUUCAGGCUCCUGUUGGAACUUGGGAUCCUGAUUGUCACGUGCGUGUUCACUUUCACACCACGCGCACCCCCUCAACCCCACACUGACAAGAGAGCAGGUGGAAUGGUGCUGGGUGUUGCCACAGUCAGCCUUGCUUUUCUGUACGGCCCGUUCUUGGUGCUCAUCUUCUUAGAUUUACCUUUUGGUCCUUCUGUCCAUGUAAUCAUAGCUGAUGUGCUCUUCUCUCCUGUUUGUUUACGUGUGAUUGCUGAUCUCCUUCUGUGUUCGGUCGUCAUUCAGAUGAUCCCUCAGAGACAGACGGACACUGACAUCCAGAUCUGACCAGUAGGGUGUGUUUGCACUGCCAUGUGUUGGUUGGUUAUAGACGUGGGACAUUUUCAGCUCUAAUACUGAUGCGCUGAACUCAUCAAUCCAGUCAUCUUUCAUAGGAUAGACAAGAAAAAGCGCGUCAAAAUUCAAAAUUGUAAAAUAAUUUUAUUUCAGAUUAAAAAAAAAAUAAAGUUUAACCAUUAUUGACA
rnacentral:lncRNA from 1 species